rnacentral:piRNA from 1 species
UNGCCACUGGGUGUUCACAGUGAUGGAGCUU